UCGGGAAUUUUGUGCAAUGGGCGAAAGCCUGACACAGCAACGCCGCGUGAAGGAUGAAGUCCCUCGGGAUGUAAACUUCGUAAGAAUAGGAAGAAUAAAUGACGGUACUAUUUGUAAGGUCCGGCUAACUACGUGCCAGCAGCCGCGGUAAUACGUAGGGACCAAGCGUUGUUCGGAUUUACUGGGCGUAAAGGGUGCGUAGGCGGCAUAUCAAGUCACUUGUGAAAUCUCUGGGCUUAACCCAGAACGGCCAAGUGAUACUGUCGCGCUAGAGUGCAGAAGGGGCAAUCGGAAUUCUUGGUGUAGCGGUGAAAUGCGUAGAUAUCAAGAGGAACACCUGAGGUGAAGACGGGUUGCUGGGCUGACACUGACGCUGAGGCGCGAAAGCCAGGGGAGCAAACGGGAUUAGAUACCCUGGUAGUCCCUGAGCGGGCUGGCAAGGCGCAU
rnacentral:rRNA from 1 species